AGAGUUUGAUUAUGGCUCAGAACGAACGCUGGCGGCGUGCCUAACACAUGCAAGUCGAACGAGAAAGUACUUCGGUAUGAGUAAAGUGGCGCACGGGUCCUUAACACGUGGAUAAUCUCCCCUCAGGCGAAAAAUAACCCCUCGAAAGAGGAGCUAAUAUUUCGUAAGACCACAGAUUCUUCGGAAUCAGAGGUAAAAGAUGGCCUCUAUUUAUAAGCUAUCGCCAGAGGAUGAGUCCGCGCACCAUUAGCUAGUUGGCGGGGUAAUGGCCCACCAAGGCAAAGAUGGUUAGCUGAUCUGAGAGGAUGAUCAGCGACACUGGAACUGAAACACGGUCCAGACUCCUACGGGAGGCAGCAGUGGGGAAUAUUGGACAAUGGACGAAAGUCUGAUCCAGCAACGCCGCGUGAGCGAUGAAGGCCUUCGGGUCGUAAAGCUCUGUCAGAUGGAACGAAAGAAGCUUACCUAACACGUAAGCUGUUGACGGUACUAUCAAAGGAAGCACCGGCUAACUCUGUGCCAGCCGCCGCGGUAA
rnacentral:rRNA from 1 species